AUCUUUGUCCAAGAAUUUUGUUUCAAACCCUUAUCAGGGGGGAGAAUUAAAAGGGAAUCUGGUGAAAAACCAGAGCUGUUCCCGCAACUGUAAGCUUAGUCCUUUUAUAAGGAUGCUUGUUGUAAAAUCUUUGAAAACCACUGUUCAUGUCAAAUUAGUUUUGACAACCUGUUUUGGAAAUUAAUGAUUACAGGAGAAUGGGAAGGUAUACAGCAAGACGCAAGUCAGGAGACCUGCAAAAUUCCAUAAAUAAUU
rnacentral:ncRNA from 2 species